UACGGAGGGGGCUAGCGUUGUUCGGAAUUACUGGGCGUAAAGCGCACGUAGGCGGCUUUGCAAGUCAGAGGUGAAAGCCCGGGGCUCAACCCCGGAAUUGCCUUUGAGACUGCAUCGCUAGAAUUGUGGAGAGGUAAGUGGAAUUCCGAGUGUAGAGGUGAAAUUCGUAGAUAUUCGGAAGAACACCAGUGGCGAAGGCGACUUACAGGACACAUAUUGACGCUGAGGUGCGAAAGCGUGGGGAGCAAACAGG
rnacentral:rRNA from 1 species